rnacentral:rRNA from 1 species
GGUUAAGCGACUAAGCGUACACGGUGGAUGCCCUGGCAGUCAGAGGCGAUGAAGGGCGUGCUAAUCUGCGAUAAGCGCCGGUAAGGUGAUAUGAACCGUUAUAACCGGCGAUACCCGAAUGGGGAAACCCAGUGUGAUUCGUCACACUAUCAUUAACUGAAUCCAUAGGUUAAUGAGGCGAACCGGGGGAACUGAAACAUCUAAGUACCCCGAGGAAAAGAAAUCAACCGAGAUUCCCCCAGUAGCGGCGAGCGAACGGGGAGGAGCCCAGAGCCUGAAUCAGCAUGUGUGUUAGUGGAAGCGUCUGGAAAGGCGCGCGAUACAGGGUGACAGCCCCGUACACAAAAGCGCAUGUGCUGUGAGCUCGAUGAGUAGGGCGGGACACGUGGUAUCCUGUCUGAAUAUGGGGGGACCAUCCUCCAAGGCUAAAUACUCCUGACUGACCGAUAGUGAACCAGUACCGUGAGGGAAAGGCGAAAAGAACCCCGGCGAGGGGAGUGAAAAAGAACCUGAAACCGUGUACGUACAAGCAGUGGGAGCACCCUUUGGGGUGUGACUGCGUACCUUUUGUAUAAUGGGUCAGCGACUUAUAUUCUGUAGCAAGGUUAACCGUAUAGGGGAGCCGAAGGGAAACCGAGUCUUAACCGGGCGUUAAGUUGCAGGGUAUAGACCCGAAACCCGGUGAUCUAGCCAUGGGCAGGUUGAAGGUUGGGUAACACUAACUGGAGGACCGAACCGACUAAUGUUGAAAAAUUAGCGGAUGACCUGUGGCUGGGGGUGAAAGGCCAAUCAAACCGGGAGAUAGCUGGUUCUCCCCGAAAGCUAUUUAGGUAGCGCCUCGUGAAUUCAUCUCCGGGGGUAGAGCACUGUUUCGGCUAGGGGGCCAUCCCGGCUUACCAACCCGAUGCAAACUGCGAAUACCGGAGAAUGUUAUCACGGGAGACACACGGCGGGUGCUAACGUCCGUCGUGAAGAGGGAAACAACCCAGACCGCCAGCUAAGGUCCCAAAGUCAUGGUUAAGUGGGAAACGAUGUGGGAAGGCCCAGACAGCCAGGAUGUUGGCUUAGAAGCAGCCAUCAUUUAAAGAAAGCGUAAUAGCUCACUGGUCGAGUCGGCCUGCGCGGAAGAUGUAACGGGGCUAAACCAUGCACCGAAGCUGCGGCAGCGAACGUAUCACUUAAAGCGAUUCAGCGGGUUACGAUUGACGGAGCGAAGCGACGUCAAAGCGUAUACAAAGUCGAGUCGGUUUAAGGAUACGUUCGUUGGGUAGGGGAGCGUUCUGUAAGCCUGUGAAGGUGUGUCGUGAGGCAUGCUGGAGGUAUCAGAAGUGCGAAUGCUGACAUAAGUAACGAUAAAGCGGGUGAAAAGCCCGCUCGCCGGAAGACCAAGGGUUCCUGUCCAACGUUAAUCGGGGCAGGGUGAGUCGACCCCUAAGGCGAGGCCGAAAGGCGUAGUCGAUGGGAAACGGGUUAAUAUUCCCGUACUUGGUGUUACUGCGAAGGGGGGACGGAGAAGGCUAUGUUGGCCGGGCGACGGUUGUCCCGGUUUAAGCGUGUAGGUGUGUGUUCCAGGUAAAUCCGGUUCACUUUAACACUGAGGUGUGA